GGAGGAAGAGGUCUGGAUACGUCUCUAUCAAUGUGAAAUAUGCUCCAUCAGUUUAUUCAGCGUCUGUGAGUCCUGCUGGUGAAAUCAGAGAGAACAGUAGAGUGACUGUGACCUGUAGCUGUGAUGCUAACCCAGCACCUGAAUACACCUGGUACAACGUGAACGGUCGUGAACUCAGUAAAGAAUCAGAGCUCGUCUUCAGCUCAGUUCAGUCCUCUGACUCUGGAUGGUAUUACUGUAAAGCUAAGAAUGAUCUGGGAGAGAGGACAUCUGGAUACGUCAAAGUUGAUGUGAAAUAUGCUCCAAAGCUUCCCUCUGUGUCAGUGAGUCC